GACGAACGCUGGCGGCGUGCUUAACACAUGCAAGUCGAACGGAAAGGCCCUGCUUUUGUGGGGUGCUCGAGUGGCGAACGGGUGAGUAACACGUGAGUAACCUGCCCUUGACUUUGGGAUAACUUCAGGAAACUGGGGCUAAUACCGGAUAGGAGCUCCUGCUGCAUGGUGGGGGUUGGAAAGUUUCGGCGGUUGGAGAUGGACUCGCGGCUUAUCAGCUUGUUGGUGGGGUAGUGGCUUACCAAGGCUUUGACGGGUAGCCGGCCUGAGAGGGUGACCGGCCACAUUGGGACUGAGAUACGGCCCAGACUCCUACGGGAGGCAGCAGUGGGGAAUAUGGCACAAUGGGCGGAAGCCUGAUGCAGCAACGCCGCGUGCGGGAUGACGGCCUUCGGGUUGUAAACCGCUUUCGCCUGUGACGAAGCGUGAGUGACGGUAAUGGGUAAAGAAGCACCGGCUAACUACGU
rnacentral:rRNA from 1 species